UAGAGUUUGAUCCUGGCUCAGGAUGAACGCUGGCGGCGUGCUUAACACAUGCAAGUCGAACGAACCUUCGGGUUAGUGGCGGACGGGUGAGUAACGCGUGAGAAUCUGCCCUCAGGAGGGGGAUAACGGUUGGAAACGACCGCUAAUACCCCAUAUGCCGAUAGGUGAAAUGAAUUUCGCCUGAGGAUGAGCUCGCGUCUGAUUAGCUUGUUGGUGAGGUAAUGGCUCACCAAGGCUUCGAUCAGUAGCUGGUCUGAGAGGAUGAUCAGCCACACUGGGACUGAGACACGGCCCAGACUCCUACGGGAGGCAGCAGUGGGGAAUUUUCCGCAAUGGGCGAAAGCCUGACGGAGCAACGCCGCGUGAGGGACGAAGGCCUCUGGGCUGUAAACCUCUUUUCUCAAGGAAGAAGAUAUGACGGUACUUGAGGAAUAAGCCACGGCUAAUUCCGUGCCAGCAGCCGCGGUAAUACGGGAGUGGCAAGCGUUAUCCGGAAUUAUUGGGCGUAAAGCGUCCGCAGGCGGCUUUUCAAGUCUGCUGUUAAAGCGUGGAGCUUAACUCCAUUAUGGCAGUGGAAACUGAUAGGCUUGAGUAUGGUAGGGGCAGAGGGAAUUCCCGGUGUAGCGGUGAAAUGCGUAGAUAUCGGGAAGAACACCAGUGGCGAAGGCGCUCUGCUGGGCCAUUACUGACGCUCAUGGACGAAAGCCAGGGGAGCGAAAGGGAUUAGAUACCCCUGUAGUCCUGGCCGUAAACGAUGAACACUAGGUGUCGGGGGAAUCGACCCCUUCGGUGUCGUAGCUAACGCGUUAAGUGUUCCGCCUGGGGAGUACGCACGCAAGUGUGAAACUCAAAGGAAUUGACGGGGGCCCGCACAAGCGGUGGAGUAUGUGGUUUAAUUCGAUGCAACGCGAAGAACCUUACCAGGGUUUGACAUCCUGAGAACCUCUUAGAAAUUUGAGGGUGCCUUCGGGAAUUCAGUGACAGGUGGUGCAUGGCUGUCGUCAGCUCGUGUCGUGAGAUGUUGGGUUAAGUCCCGCAACGAGCGCAACCCACGUUUUUAGUUGCCAGCAUUAGUUGGGCACUCUAGAAAGACCGCCGGUGAUAAACCGGAGGAAGGUGUGGAUGACGUCAAGUCAUCAUGCCCCUUACACCCUGGGCUACACACGUACUACAAUGCCACGGACAAAGGGCAGCAAACUCGCGAGAGCUAGCAAAUCCCAUAAACCGUGGCUCAGUUCAGAUCGUAGGCUGCAACUCGCCUACGUGAAGUAGGAAUCGCUAGUAAUCGCAGGUCAGCAUACUGCGGUGAAUACGUUCCCGGGCCUUGUACACACCGCCCGUCACACCAUGGAAGUUGGCCAUGCCCGAAGUCGUUACUCCAACCCUUGUGGAGGAGGACGCCGAAGGUGGGGCUAAUGACUGGGGUGAAGUCGUAACAAGGUAACCA
rnacentral:rRNA from 1 species